UCAUUCUUUCUCAAGCCAGCUUCUCCUGCCAAGCUCCUUUCUCUGCUGAUGCAGUACUUAAAGGUGUCUGAUCUAUGCUGCAAAGUUCUGCAUUUCUGCUCCACCACCUCUGUGGCAGAAUAUAGCUCUUGUCAGGCUUACACCUCGUCACUCAGUUUGAUUAGAAAUGGUCACUUUUUCAAGUACAGGACUCUUUUUAAAAAAUUGAGUGUAAUUUACAUGCAAAAAAUACUCUGAUAUUAAGUGUCCAGUUUGAUGAAUUUUGACAAUGUAUGCACUUGUGUAGCCACCACUCAAAAAAACAUAGAGAACAUUCUGUCUUGUGGCUUUUCCCAGUCAGUUCCCACCUCUGCUCCCCAGGGGCAACCACUGUUCUGAUUUCUGUCACCACAGAUUAAUCUUGCCUGUUCUUGGACUUCACAUAAUCAAAACCAUAUAGGAAGUGCUCUUUUGUGUCUGAUUUUUUUUUUCACUCAGCAUAGCAUAAUGUUUUUGAGAUGUAUCCUUGGUGCCCAUAUAAGAUUGUUCCUUUUUUAUCACUGAGUGGUAUCCUAGUGUGUGGAUAGAGCAGAUUGGUUGUCCAUGCUCCUGUUGAUGAACAAUUUGAGUUUUUUCCAGCUCAAGUACAGUAUUUUUUAACCAGAAUUUUGUUCAUGACCUUUUCCAGCUUUAAGGCAUUGUCAUCCUGUCAUUGUCAGCUGUAUAAUGCAAUUAACCAAAAUUUCAAUUUCUUUUUCAGAAGUCAGAGUUUCUGGUUGUCAAUCCUGGCUGCUCACUAGAAUCACCUGGGGAGUUGUAAAUCCCAACAAUCAGGCCACACCUAAGACCCAUUAAGUGAGGCUCUCUGGAAGUGGGUGGGGCCUAGAGUCCGAGGUUUUAGAGCCCCCCUGUGAUUGCACCGUGUGGCCAGUAGGGGCACUCUUGCACGAAGUCUUCUGGAGUCGGCGGAAGGCUUGGAAUGUUGCUCUCGUCUGAAGCUUCCCAUGAUAACUGCUCCGUGCUCUUCUUAAAUCCGUGUCUUCUGGGCUUUGUUGCUUGCCCCUGCAUGGAUCUUUGGAGCAGCCAGCGGGACACCUUUCUCCACCGCACGUGUAUCAGUGUCUGUCUGUACCUGACCCAGAGGGCAGCGCCUCCAAGCAUAGGAAUCCAGGGACAACUGCACUUUCAUUAUGAACAGCUGGAUCAUAAAGAGUCAACAGAACAAUCUGCAGUCCUUUAGGGAAGAUGACAAUGGCUGUGUCAGUGCUAUUUACUGCAUAAGAAUUAUGAAGCUUAAGUGGGGCUUUGUCAAUUCCGAUUGGAAUGUCGUGGUCUUCUCCUUCGCCAACUAUGAACCCCACAUCUCUGCAAUCAAACAUCCUUCCACCACAGCGGCCUUCCAGGUGGACUGAGGGAGAGGAGAAGGACAGUCAACAGAGCUGCUCUUCGUGACUAAUUCAGGGACCUGAUAAAUGAGUAGUUCCCCUUCCUCAUUUCAUCUAGAGACAUACGUGGUAUGUCUUGUUGAAGCUUAGUCUGCCCAGUCUGGAAAUUUAAGAGCAAUCAUAUUUCUUUCUGUUUUAAGUUUAAACAUAAUUACUGAUAACUACAUCAGUAAGAUAGCUUAGAGGAUAAUAAAGUAGAAACACAGGUUUAACUUAAACCUACUAUAUGACAGAGGUUUCCUCACCUAUAACACAAAACAAGAAAUACUAGAUUAUUUAAUAGGUAAUUAUCAAAAUGCCACAAACUUAAUAUCAAGUAUACAAAGGCUUAAACAUUUAUAACUGCAUCUUGGCUUCGGAUGCUUGGGUUGAAAAACAACCGAAUGGCUAUUUCCCCAGUGAUAUUAAAGGGUUAACUGAAUAUAGAAGCUCUUUUUUUUUUUCUUUAAGAGUUUUAAUCUCAUUCACAAAUAUGUCUGAAUAAAAAUGAAAAGGCCAAAGGCAACAUCAUCAAUAACUAACAUAUCUGUAAUCCCUUAGCGCAGUAAAAAAUGUAAAAUGUGAAGGAAUCAAUAGUCUCCUAUAACUCGACAAAUCAAAUUACUCAACCCCCUCCUCUGAAAUGUUAAGUGAAGAGGUCAAUUUCUCAGGGUCUACUUCCUCAUUGCACUCAAACUCAGCUCAUUCCCAGGGUAAUUUCACAUUAGAUAAGGGGCUUUUAUGUUCAUAUAAAAUAGGAAAACACAUACAGAUAUAUAUUUUUCUCUUGGUUAGUUAGACUUUUUCUUCUGGGAUAAAUUCUUUGAAACUUUCCAACUAUGUUUAAUAUUACGGAUAUUCAUUCCUUUCCACUUAGGUCUUUCAUUCAGUCAGAAAAAUGGAUGGCUUGUAUGACAGCACAACAGUCGACAAGCAAUGUAAUAAUUUGUCUUUCAUAAGAAAAUUUUUUAUUCCUACUUCUGUAAUAUAAUGGCCUUGAUUCAAAUGUAAGGAAUUCCUAAAAUGCUUCUUUUCUGAGACUGGUUGAUCUAUUUUAGAUCAAUAACUUGCUUUAGAGAUAAAAAUCACUUGUUCUGUUACAUUCGUUCCAGGAGACAAUUGUUUUCCAAAUUCAAUUCCAACUUACUCUACUUUUGAACUACUUGAUCUCAAAGGUCCUUUGAAGCUCUAAAAUUCUACGAUUCUAUGGCCCAGUAAUAUAACUCUCAAUGUAGACCAGAAACCAGCUUCAAAGCUAAUUCCUGUAGUUAAUCAUUUCAUCAGGUUACCUUUAGCCCAGGCCUAGGAAAUGAGAGAAACCCUGAAGAGUAAACAGCAGUGGCAUAGACACUAGGGGCAGAAAUGUCACAUGGACAUUUAUGCUUUGAAGUUCUCUACUGUUUUCUAAGUCACUAGGAUUAAUACCAUCCCGAUUUGUUCCCGUUGCAGACAUAGGGUGGAGUCGAAGACGCUUGGGCCAAACUAGAGAAGGCCUGACUCUCGAGUCAGACCUUCUAAACAGGGGCAAGAGCUAGACUGGCUCUCAGGGUGGAGCUGGCAUACAGAAAUUUUGUUCUAUGUCCCAUACUCAUAAAUGCACAUGACUUUCUAUUAACUCACUUUUGGAAUGUUCUAGAUAAAAUACAGCUUAGCUUGCAGCACAGUGAAAGUUCUUUUGAAUUGGAAAUAGUUUCAAAAUAAAUUCAACUUUAUUAUUUUCAAAUACAUACACACUAGAGAGGUUCUGCAAGGAAUCCUAGGCUUAAGAUAUUUUUUACUGGAGUAAAAGCUGGUGUCUCUAAAGAAUUUGAGAGUUUGAAAAUUUGUGUUCUUAAAUAUCUUUAAAUCUGCCCAAGAAAUUUAAUUUAGACUAAUGUGAUGAUACUUUUCAUGAGAAAAGAUUUGCUAAGCAAAGUGAGUUUCGGCCCACAUAUUAUAGAAUAUCUCAAGCAUUGAGAUUUAUUAUCCUAGUAGCUCACAACUUAGUUGACAGAUCUUUUUGAGUGAGGUUUAUUGUUAGAAGUGUUUCCUCCCUGAUGGAGAGUACAUUUAGUGGGGGAGGAAACUAUCAGUACAUUCGUUGUGGUUUUUGGUUGAUCAAGUUUGAAUGUGUUUUCAAAACAGGAAAUCCAGAGACUCUGUGAAGGAUUCCUGCCUGUGUGUCAGUUUCCUAGGCUGGUUUUUCAGCUUGAUGCAUAUACUUGAUAUUAAAAUUACAUAAAUAAUUUCAGAAGUUCUCUUUACAUGUGAUAACCCUUCAUAUUAGGGAAAGAAAAGACUGGCUACUAAUAAACAUGUUGGGAAAGAUAAGUCAAGCAAGCAAGCAAAAAAAAAAAGUUCAAGUCAAAGUAUAAUGAAGGCAUAAUUAAGAAAGCAAAAAAAAAAUGUUCACUGCAGCCGGUCUCUCUAAGAGAAACAAUAUAUGGUAGAACCAAUGUUUUUGGCCACCUAAUAGGGAAACAUUUGCAAUAACUCUUAUAAAUACUUACUACCUUAUAUAGGGACCAAUCUUUUUUUUCUAUUAAAUCUCUUUGAAGUUGAACCUGAAUAAGCACUACCUACAGUACCAUAGAAUCUUAAAUUGAUAAACUGAUACGCAUGCGUGCGUGCACACACGCAGCAGUCUUUACGUGUAUAUAUAAAACCUUUUAAUACUGACAUUAUCUGGAAUGUCAGAGCAAGAGGAGGUAUCACAGCCUCAGGGAGUAUAGUCCAUUGAUUCUUUACAUCUACAAGUAGCAAACACUCUCUCUAGAUUAACUGGUUUCUAAAAUUGGAACACUGGUGUGACAAGUUCUAUGACAGCUGACAAGAACUCCUCCCCACCUUGGAGCCGAUUGCCGCAGCAGGGACCUCCAUCAUGGUGACAGAUGCAGACAUGCCUGACUCCUAUAGAUCCAAUUUUUUUUUUAAUUGUCUCGAUAAUUGUUACCAAAGAAAACCAUGGCAGCUCUGGCUGUGGAAGACCUGUGGUUGCUUUUGACCUUGUAUUGCUUAGUGCAAAAACUCAUUUAAUAAAUAUUUAAUAAUAAC